rnacentral:rRNA from 1 species
GAUGAACGCUGGCGGCGUGCCUAAUACAUGCAAGUCGAGCGAACAGACGAGGAGCUUGCUCCUCUGACGUUAGCGGCGGACGGGUGAGUAACACGUGGAUAACCUACCUAUAAGACUGGGAUAACUUCGGGAAACCGGAGCUAAUACCGGAUAAUAUAUUGAACCGCAUGGUUCAAUAGUGAAAGACGGUUUUGCUGUCACUUAUAGAUGGAUCCGCGCCGCAUUAGCUAGUUGGUAAGGUAACGGCUUACCAAGGCGACGAUGCGUAGCCGACCUGAGAGGGUGAUCGGCCACACUGGAACUGAGACACGUUCCAGACUCCUACGGGAGGCAGCAGUAGGGAAUCUUCCGCAAUGGGCGAAAGCCUGACGGAGCAACGCCGCGUGAGUGAUGAAGGUCUUCGGAUCGUAAAACUCUGUUAUUAGGGAAGAACAAAUGUGUAAGUAACUAUGCACGUCUUGACGGUACCUAAUCAGAAAGCCACGGCUAACUACGUG